ACCGCCACCGCCGCCGGGGGGCGCUCCCGGCGCCGCCGCCGCCGUCCUCGCCUCGCUGAUGGCGUAGACGAAACCUUCUCACGGUUUUGGAAUGGAGGAUGGGUAUGACGAUCGUGCAUGACGACGAUUUGGACGACGACACCCUGCAUGCAUGCAUGACACUACUAAGAAAAGGAUCGUGUCGAUCGUACGUAGGUAUAAUUAACAUGUACAUUUCAUGGAUGAACGAAUGAUAAGUACAUGAUCAAACUUGAUGUAAAUUACGACUGCUAGGGUUAAAUCGAAUUACCAGUUUGCAUUGAGACUUGGUGUGUCCGAACAUGUGUGUGUACCUGUGAGCAACAGCAGACGGAAAGAAGCUGAGUGAUUAGAGCCACACAUAAGAUCGGUUUGGGACCUACCAAGUCUCAGUUGCCGCUCUCGUGGACUCCAAAUUGAUAACCCUGAGUUGUAUAUGCGAAGCAAUCCGGCAAACAACAAGCACAAGUUGGUCCACAUAAAUAAUUUAACAGUUUAUGUUGGAAUGAAUAUAUGGGCUAAGGGCCCUUUUGAAUCACAAGAUGAAAAAACGGGGAAAUAUGAAAAACACAUGAUUCUGACAGAAAUAUACGUGUAAAACAGAG
rnacentral:lncRNA from 1 species